CAAUAGCGUAUAUUAAAGUUGUUGCGGUUAAAAAGCUCGUAGUUGGAGUUCUGCCAGGUGCCGCCUGUCCGCCCCAGUGGUGAGUACGUGGCGCGCAUUUGGCCCUUUCAAGGGGAGCGUAUCUGCACUUUAUUGUGUGGUGCGGGAUCCUUGACUUUUACUUUGAGGAAAUAGGAGUGUUCCAAGCAGGCUCUCGUCGUGCACAGCUCAGCAUGGAAUAAUAGCAUUGGACCUCGAUUCUAAGCUGUUGGUUGCCAGAAGCGAGGUAAUGAUGAAGAGGGAUAGUUGGGGGCAUUCGUAUUUCAUUGUCAGAGGUGAAAUUCUUGGAUUUAUGAAAGACGAACUUCUGCGAAAGCAUUUGCCAAGGAUGUUUUCAUUAA
rnacentral:rRNA from 1 species